rnacentral:rRNA from 1 species
AGUGAACGCUGGCGGCAGGCCUAACACAUGCAAGUCGAACGGCAGCACAAGAGAGCUUGCUCUCUGGGUGGCGAGUGGCGGACGGGUGAGGAAUGCAUCGGAAUCUGCCCAUUUGUGGGGGAUAACCUCGGGAAACCGGGACUAAUACCGCAUACGACCUACGGGUGAAAGCAGGGGAUCUUCGGACCUUGCGCAGAUGGAUGAGCCGAUGCCGGAUUAGCUAGUUGGAGGGGUAAAGGCCCGCCAAGGCGACGAUCCGUAGCUGGUCUGAGAGGAUGAUCAGCCACACUGGGACUGAGACACGGCCCAGACUCCUACGGGAGGCAGCAGUGGGGAAUAUUGGACAAUGGGCGCAAGCCUGAUCCAGCCAUGCCGCGUGUGUGAAGAAGGCCUUCGGGUUGUAAAGCACUUUUGUUGGGAAAGAAAAGCAGCCGGUUAAUACCCGGUUGUCAUGACGGUACCCAAAGAAUAAGCACCGGCUAACUUCGUG